AAAUCCGUCGACUUUAGAAAUC
rnacentral:tRNA from 1 species